rnacentral:rRNA from 1 species
AUACGGAGGAUCCGAGCGUUAUCCGGAUUUAUUGGGUUUAAAGGGAGCGUAGGUGGGAUAUUAAGUCAGCUGUGAAAGUUUGGGGCUCAACCUUAAAAUUGCAGUUGAUACUGGUUUCCUUGAGUACGGUACAGGUGGGCGGAAUUCGCGGUGUAGCGGUGAAAUGCUUAGAUAUCACGAAGAACUCCGAUCGCGAAGGCAGCUCACCGGGCCGGAACUGACACUGAUGCUCGAAAGUGCGGGUAUCAAACAGGAUUAGAUACCCUGGUAGUCCGCACAGUAAACGAUGAAUACUCGCUGUUUGCGAUACACGGUAAGCGGCCAAGCGAAAGCGUUAAGUAUUCCACCUGGGGAGUACGCCGGCAACGGUGAAACUCAAAGGAAUUGACGGGG